rnacentral:rRNA from 1 species
CUUUUGGGUGUGACUGCGUACCUUUUGUAUAAUGGGUCAGCGACUUAUAUUCUGUAGCAAGGUUAACCGAAUAGGGGAGCCGGAGGGAAACCGAGUCUUAAUUGGGCGUUAAGUUGCAGGGUAUAGACCCGAAACCCGGUGAUCUAGCCAUGGGCAGGUUGAAGGUUGGGUAACACUAACUGGAGGACCGAACCGACUAAUGUUGAAAAAUUAGCGGAUGACCUGUGGCUGGGGGUGAAAGGCCAAUCAAACCGGGAGAUAGCUGGUUCUCCCCGAAAGCUAUUUAGGUAGCGCCUCGUGAAUUCAUCUCCGGGGGUAGAGCACUGUUUCGGCUAGGGGGCCAUCCCGGCUUACCAACCCGAUGCAAACUGCGAAUACCGGAGAAUGUUAUCACGGGAGACACACGGCGGGUGCUAACGUCCGUCGUGAAGAGGGAAACAACCCAGACCGCCAGCUAAGGUCCCAAAGUCAUGGUUAAGUGGGAAACGAUGUGGGAAGGCCCAGACAGCCAGGAUGUUGGCUUAGAAGCAGCCAUCAUUUAAAGAAAGCGUAAUAGCUCACUGGUCGAGUCGGCCUGCGCGGAAGAUGUAACGGGGCUAAACCAUGCACCG